GGCUCCGGCCCGAUUGUUUUUGCUUGGGCGUUUCCUCCCUAGACUUGGGCCGCUUGUUCAUCACAAGCGGCUCUUUUUCUUCCCUGC
rnacentral:sRNA from 1 species